AUGACGAGUCACUACGGUGAUGAAGUAACCGAUGCUACGCUUCCAGGAAAAGCCUCUAAGCUCCAGGUAACAUCAAAUCGUACCCCAAACCGACACAGGUGGUCAGGUAGAGAAUACUCAGGCGCUUGAGAGAACUCGGGUGAAGGAACUAGGCAAAAUGGUGCCGUAACUUCGGGAGAAGGCACGCUGAUGGUAGGUGAAGUGACUUGCUCAUGGAGCUGAAAUCAGUCGAAGAUACCAGCUGGCUGCAACUGUUUAAUAAAAACACAGCACUGUGCAAACACGAAAGUGGACGUAUACGGUGUGACGCCUGCCCGGUGCCGGAAGGUUAAUUGAUGGGGUCAGCCGCAAGGCGAAGCUCUUGAUCGAAGCCCCGGUAAACGGCGGCCGUAACUAUAACGGUCCUAAGGUAGCGAAAUUCCUUGUCGGGUAAGUUCCGACCUGCACGAAUGGCGUAAUGAUGGCCAGGCUGUCUCCACCCGAGACUCAGUGAAAUUGAACUCGCUGUGAAGAUGCAGUGUACCCGCGGCAAGACGGAAAGACCCCGUGAACCUUUACUAUAGCUUGACACUGAACCUUGAGCCUUGAUGUGUAGGAUAGGUGGGAGGCUUUGAAGCGUGGACGCCAGUCUGCGUGGAGCCAACCUUGAAAUACCACCCUUUAAUGUUUGAUGUUCUAACGUGGACCCGUAAUCCGGGUUGCGGACAGUGUCUGGUGGGUAGUUUGACUGGGGCGGUCUCCUCCCAAAGCGUAACGGAGGAGCACGAAGGUUAGCUAAUCCUGGUCGGACAUCAGGAGGUUAGUGCAAAGGCAUAAGCUAGCUUGACUGCGAGAGUGACAGCUCGAGCAGGUGCGAAAGCAGGUCUUAGUGAUCCGGUGGUUCUGAAUGGAAGGGCCAUCGCUCAACGGAUAAAAGGUACUCCGGGGAUAACAGGCUGAUACCGCCCAAGAGUUCAUAUCGACGGCGGUGUUUGGCACCUCGAUGUCGGCUCAUCACAUCCUGGGGCUGAAGUAGGUCCCAAGGGUAUGGCUGUUCGCCAUUUAAAGUGGUACGCGAGCUGGGUUUAGAACGUCGUGAGACAGUUCGGUCCCUAUCUGCCGUGGGCGUUGGAAGAUUGAGAGGGGUUGCUCCUAGUACGAGAGGACCGGAGUGAACGCACCACUGGUGUACGGGUUGUGAUGCCAAUUGCAUUGCCCGGUAGCUAAGUGCGGAAGAGAUAACCGCUGAAAGCAUCUAAGCGGGAAACUUGCCUCGAGAUGAGUCUUCCCUGGGUACUUGAUACCCCUGAAGGGCCGUUGAAGACGACGACGUAGAUAGGCUGGGUGUGUAAGCGUAGCGAUACGUUGAGCUAACCAGUACUAAUGACCCGAGAGGCUUAACCUUACAACACCGAAGGUGUUU
rnacentral:rRNA from 2 species